UGUACAUAUUAUAUAAUUAAAUAUUGGUUCUCUUCCUUCAUACACAUCAACCCUUAGGGCCACAGAUGUCAUUGUUCAUUCCAUUCACAUCUUUUUCUUUUGUUGUUAUAGUCAUUAAUGGGGGCUUCCCAGCUGGUGCAGUGGUAAUGAACAUGGCUGCCAAUGCAGGAAAUGCAGGAGACACAGGUUCCAUCCCUGAAUCAGGAAGAUCCCCUGGAGUAGGAAAUGGCAAUCCACUCCAGUAUUCUUGCCUGGAAAAUUCCAUGGAUGGAGGAGCCUGGCAGGCUACAUAUAAUCCAUGCAGUCACAAAGAGACGGACAUGACAGAGUACCAAGUCAUUAAACAGUAAUCCUUCAUGAGUCCUAAUAUGGUCUCACAUUCUGGCAGAGAACAUUAGAGCUCACCUAUUAUUCUAUAUGUGCCCUUAUGUGCUUGUUUUUUUCGUGUGUCAACUUGGCUAGCUAUUGUACUUCAAUCAAAUACUAAGAUAGGUGUUGCUAUGAAAGGAGUUUGCAGAUGUAAUUAAAAAGAUACAUCAACUGACUUUAAGGAAGGUUACUCUGGAUAAUUUGGGUGGGCCUGAUUCUAUCAGUUGAAAGGCCUCCAAAACAGAUAGAGUAGCUGCAACCCAUGCCUAUAAACUCCAGCCUGCUCAUGGUCUCUGCUUCUUGGGUGCCCCCUUCAGAUUUCAGACUUGCCUAUCAGCCUCAGUAAUUUUAUAAACCAAUUCCUUGUAGUGAAUCUCUUAAUACAUCUAUCUCCUACUGAUUCCACUUCUCUAGUUGAAUCCUAACAGACACAAAAUUUUUCCAACCUCCCUUACAACUAGGUUGAAGCUAUGUGGCUAAUUUGGCAAAAGGACUAAGAAUUUAGAAUGGAUGUAUGCCACUUGCAAACUGAGGCAGCUAAAAUAUGUAAUUGGUGUGCCUUCUUUGUCUCUCCUUUUUCCAUGGCAACCUUGAAGGCCACAUGCUAAGACAGUAAAGCCAUAGUCAAAAGUAGACUGUAUCCCUAAGCCACAGAGUUGAAGUAUCCUCAGAACUGCAUCAGAUUUUAUAAGAACGAGAAACAAACCUACCUUCUAUUCAGGCUCAGCUGUUUUAACCUCAUUUUCAGGAUUUAUUUAUUAUGUCAGUGCAGCCUUCUAGUCCCAUUUAAUAAAUGUAUUUCUGACUUUUUACAGAUCCCUAUGUACAUAGAUAGGGUACUUAGGAACUCACUGGGCACAUUUUUGUCAUAAAUUAUAAAACUAUCGGGCUGCCGUCCAUGGGGUCACACAGAGUCGGACGCUGAAGUUGGCUGAAGUUGACUGAAGCGACUUAGCAGCAGCAGCGCCAUUGUAGAUGAUAUGAAACUUCAUUUUCAUUGGCAGGAUUUACACUAAAAACA
ensembl:lncRNA